rnacentral:rRNA from 1 species
UUCCGGUAGGUGAACCUGCCGUUGGAUCAGU